rnacentral:rRNA from 1 species
GAUGAACGCUGGCGGCGUGCUUAACACAUGCAAGUCGAACGAAGCACUUAAGAUUGAUUCUUCGGAUGACGUCUUUUGUGACUUAGUGGCGGACGGGUGAGUAACGCGUGGGUAACCUGCCUCACACAGGGGGAUAACAGUUAGAAAUGACUGCUAAUACCGCAUAACCCGAUAGGAUCGCAUGAUCCAGACGGAAAAGAUUUAUCGGUGUGAGAUGGACCCGCGUCUGAUUAGCUAGUUGGUGAGGUAACGGCCCACCAAGGCGACGAUCAGUAGCCGGGCUGAGAGGGUGAACGGCCACAUUGGGACUGAGACACGGCCCAAACUCCUACGGGAAGCAGCAGUGGGGAAUAGUGCACAAUGGGGGAAACCCUGAUGCAGCGACGCCGCGUGAGUGAAGAAGUAUUUCGGUAUGUAAAGCUCUAUCAGCAGGGAAGAAAAUGACGGUACCUGACUAAGAAGCCCCGGCUAACUACGUG